GGUAGGACUAUCCGCUGAACUUAAGCAUAUCA
rnacentral:rRNA from 1 species